rnacentral:rRNA from 1 species
AACAAACGCUGGCGGCGUGCCUAAUACAUGCAAGUCGAACGGGGAAAGCUUUCGGGUGAGUACUAGUGGCGCACGGGUGAGUAACGCGUGGAUAAUCUGCCCUCGAAUGGGGAAUAACUAGUCGAAAGAUUAGCUAAUACCGCAUAAGACCACGACUCCUGAGGUAGUUGGGGUCAAAGGAGCAAUGCGUUUGAGGAUGAGUCCGCGUAAGAUUAGCUAGUUGGUGAGGUAAUGGCCCACCAAGGCGAUGAUCGUUAACUGGUCUGAGAGGAUGAUCAGUCACACUGGAACUGAGACACGGGACAGACUCCUACGGGAGGCAGCAGUAGGGAAUAUUGGACAAUGGGGGCAACCCUGAUCCAGCGACGCCGCGUGAGCGAUGAAGGCCUUCGGGUCGUAAAGCUCUGUUGUAAGGGAAAAAGUUCUGAUUGUACCUUACGAGAAAGGAUCGGCUAACUUCGUGCCAGCCGCCGCAGUAA